rnacentral:rRNA from 1 species
GAAAAAAACCAUCCUCUCGAUCCACCCCUCGUGCGACCGCUCUCUUCUCCUCUCCUCCCGAUGCGGCGCUGCCCCCAUCUCUUGCUCCGCCGCCGCCCGUCACCUCCUCGGCCUCCCCGCCGCCCCCUCCGCACGACGCCUCACCGACAUCGAUCUCGCCCCUAAGGACUCAACUCCGCCGGCCUCGCCAUCCUCUCCAUCACUGUGGUCACGGUCUCUGGCGCCGGCACGGACGUUGGCGGCGGUAAGGCGAGGGCUCGCGGCGAGGGAAGCACCGUGGAGCCACUCGAUCCCGCGCCUCCACCGACCGCAGCCUCCUCUGUUCAAUCCACCCCUCCACCAUCCAACGCCUCUCUCUCCCUGGCCUCCCGAUCCCAGCCGCCAGGAGGCACCCCACCCCGCGCGACGCUCGAUCCGGUGUCGCGCCGAUCUGGCGGCGGGUGCAGCGUCUUGCUCCGAUGGCGACGACAUCCUGCUGAUCCAGGGAAAGGGAGAGACAGGGCGUAAGGGAGAGAGGAAAGAGAGGAAGAAAGGAGAAGGAGAAGGGGCACAAGGCGAGGAAGGCGGUCGCGGGCGGUGGCGGCUCUGGUGACCGGCCGGCGGGUAGGGAGACGAGCUCCUGUUGAGGCGGCGGGGCUCGGUGCGGGCUGGUUCCGCCGGAUCGAGCCUUGGCUCUCCCAAGGCGGCGGUUGCGGGCUUGGAUCAGGGUGGUCCUUCUCCCCCGCCCUCCCCCUCCAUGGCCAAUGGCACAAGGUGCGGCGACCUCUUCGGCCCCCUGCCAUGGCUCCUGUCUCUCCCCCCCACCAGUGCCCUCCUUACCCCUUCCCCACUCCCGGCUGAUCCCCAAGGCUGCACCCUCCCGCUUUCAUUAGAUCUGGUCCGGACAGGACCGAGUUCCCCCGAUGGCCUUGAUAGAGCUGUGCGAGGAUGAGGAGACCAUCACCUGCUCUAGCUGCGCAAGGCCACGCAGAGAGGCCGACCUCAUCCUCCAUCAAGGUCUUGACUCCAAUCUUCGGACAGAACAAUGUAAUAUAUAUAUGCAGCUUGCAGUCUUUGUCACCCUGUGACAAAUCUGGGUCCUAUGCAUACUAAAUGUGCAUCUUGGCCUGGCUCUUGGCACACGCACAAUCCAUCAGAUGAACAUAGCACUCUUGGAGUACUCAUGUAUUUCCUAGAGCAAUAUUACUUACAUUUAGUUUCAUGCCAUCAUGGAAAUUCAGACGGGCGUUUCGCAGAGUGUUCAGAAUAAUACUUUGCAAGGGACAGCAGCAUGAUGUCAAGCAGCAGCAGCAGCAGCAGGUUCUGCAGCUUCGACGACCCUGGUGAGUCCACGGUCGUGCUCAACUCCUGCCAGGAGGGCGCGAAGGAGUUUCCCCUUGAACCCCAUGACCUGAUUCUCAGAUCGGAUUGAAGGUGUAUCUGUAUUUUACUUGUGCAACAUGAAGAUUUCAGAAGUUGAAGCGAAUGGAAAGAUAGAAGAGGGUUUGAAAAAUAGGGAGAACAUCCAACAACGGUGAAUUUUGCCUGAUAUGUAUUCUUGAUGUAUGGUGGAUGGGAAAGAGCGAUGCGGCCUUUCUGUUGAUCCAUCGCCAAUUGCUCCUGAUCUUUCCCUUCACAUCAGCCCUCUGUCGCCGGUGGAUGGCAAAGGAGAGGUGCGGCUGGGGCUCCAUGAGGCGGCCGCAAAGAAGCAAUGUGAUGGUUUUGUUUGCCUAUUGGUAUCUCAGCGUGGGUUCUUGAGCCUGAACGGGUAAUUAUAAGUAGUAACUGAUAAAAUCAGAUGGUCUCUUGCAAAUUGCUUUUGGGGAGGCUGCAUGGUGUUUCUUUGAUGCCCUUUUCCGCUGUCAUUAAAAGAAUAGAAAGCCAUACAAAUGUAUCCAAACGUUGUGUUUGUACUAAAUUUAAUUUUCAUUUGUGCAUAUUUAAGAUUAACCCUUACUGUUCUUUAAAAUUCACUUCCUUUUGUAUUCGAUACAACAUCUUCUAUGAGCAGUACCCAACUCAGUACUGGAACUGAUGAACAUUAAGGAUCUUACACUCCCUCAUGUUAAGAGUCACCUACAGGCAACCUUCCGAUCUGUGGAGAAUAUUCAUGGCUUGGUGAACAUGGUUAAGAGAACUCCAAAACCAUCUGUCAUUGUCUUAUAUUAUGCCAAACUAACUGAAAUAUCCUGAAUAUCCGAGUCACUUGUAUCAUGCGUAUGCAUCGCUGAAGCUUUUCAUCUUGCAAAAGAGCUACAAUAAAAAAUUAACUCAGAAGUGACCUUUUCAAUUUCUCCCUCGUAUCCAAGUGUGACAAUAGAGAAAUGGUUUCUAGAGCUCGCCGUGGAUCCUUUUUUGGCUGCUGUGAUUUUUUUAACAUGCUGCCAAAAUGUUCAAUGUCUCUGUUAUCACAUGGAUUUAGUCUUCCAAUGCAUUCUCGUCGAACAAUGUAGGAUGUGAGCUUCUUCGGCUUCUUCCAGCGGCCCGGCCAUGACGUCCUCAAGCCGCCGACGCUCAGAGCGACAUCAAUGGCCCUCUCCCAAGCUGCACUGCUCCUGAUCUUCAUCGCCUCACACUGUUGUGCUCCGCACAGUUCAGCCUGACCAUGAUGUUCUCAAGCCGCCGAUGGUCACAACACACGUGGCGACCCGCUCCCAAGCUGUGUUGCUUUUCCAUCAGCGCUGACAAACUUAGUUUGUUUUUGAAUGUGGGCAUCAGGUCUCCGAGUCGUUUAAAUCUGAACGCAAGACCAAGGCUACUAGCCUGAGCAUUGCGGAACAAAGCAGGAAAGCAUUUGCUGAACUUAAUAAAAGCAAGCAUGGAAUUUAAGUAGGUUCAGGGUGUGGUGGACAAGGACGCCUCUGCCACAGCACCUGCAUCUUCAUCUCUGCCAUGUAUACCCAAAUCAAGGUCUUUUAUCUAAUUGGUUGGAUAACUACUUUUCAGGAUUCUUGCCGGAGGAGACGAACUUUUAUGGAUUCUUGCUGGAGGAGAUGAACUUUUUUGGUGUGUUUUUUCCCCUGUAUGCGUCGCUUCAGAUCAGGCUGAUGCUGUUGUUAUUAUGGAUGAGCUGUUGAAGGCCAAGGUUUUCCUUGUGAGAAUGCCAUAGGUACAAGAAAAGAUUGCCUGAAAGGUCUUUAUGGUUUAUUCUGCAAGGUUAGAGGCCUGCUGAGGCUAGCGUGAGGUCUGCUAUGGCAUCGAUGAUCUGGGUGUCAUGACUGUGAGGACUGCUCGCGCCUCUCCGCUCACAAACCGUGUGACAGAGUAAAUACUCUGGUCCACAACAAUUAGACCUUCCUCCCUCUCAGCUAUGGUGCCACAAAGUGCCCAGGCAGCUGGAAGCACACAUAAAACCAUCGAUGCUCCUUUCCGUAGGAGAAAUAAGUGAACGGACAAUCUUUUCAUCUUUGUAUAAAUUCAGAUGUGAUUAGCCAAGUCCAGAAGAUUUGGUCUACUUCUCACUAAAUCCCAUCUGUUCUUCAGAUAAUACUUUUUCUUUGAGUUCAGACGCGAUUAGCCUUCAUGAUGCAUGGAUGCAAAUUUGGACAGUUGGAUUCUUGAUGUGCACAUAAAUACAUUGAGAAGAUGGAACUAGAAUUAAACUUCCGUCCAACUGCAGGUCAAGGUUAGAGUGGUUCUGCAACUAUUUCCAUCUGAAAAGAUAUACUUUGCAGCAUCCUGUAUGAUACGUAUAUGCUCGCAGAGGCGUCCGAGCUGUCGAGGUGAGCAGUGGUGGACAACUAUAUAGUGUGUCCUCUUCUUCCUCGACGAUGCCUCCGUGCUUUCCCAUGUCGCCUCACCAGCCACCACCAACAGCAGUGUAUUGAUCUAUGGCGGGCAAGACCAAAGCACUGCAGCCGCCCGAGGGGCGCCCAAGGCCAAGCCUACACUAGCAGCGGCGAUGACGGAGGCGGAGGCGAAGGAGCUCCCCAAGGCCAUCGCGUGGCAGCUGGUCCAGGACAAGCUCGCCUGGGUUGCCGUGGCCGGCGCCGGCGAAGGAGGAGGGUGGAGGUGUGGUGGACAAGGACGCCAUGGCCGCCUUCGCCACUGCCUCUCUACCACUUCAGAAUAUCACUAUAUCUUCAUCCCUGCCUCUCUGCCACUUCAGAAUAAUAGUUGACGUUUUCACCAUAAAUCUGUGUACUGCAGCAUUUUUAUAGAUACUCUCUGUAAAUAAAAUCUUUUUUUCUUUAAGGGUUCAUAUAUAACUCUGUUACAACAUUGAACUAAAUCCUGAAUUCCUGAUCCUUCCUUGUGUAGCCUUAUCUCAGACAUACGUAACUGAAAAUAAAGCUAUGCACAGAGAAAAGGUGUAGACUCGGUUGCUGGGCAUGAACUCCGGCAUAGACUACUUUAGUUUUCUUCCAGUAAAGGAGAUGUCGAAUGAGGUGUUCUUAUAACUUCUAAGCUUAUAAGGGAAUAUAUGCACUACCAUUGGAGUAGCAAUUUUAGUUCUCAAAUUGUAGUAUUAAAUUAUAUGUGCCAGGAUUAGCAUAGUGAAAAGUGAUAUGCCUCCUAUAUGACCGACUCAUAGACUUAUCUAAAAACUGGAUCCUAUGCUCUGCACCCUUCUUUUGCUUCGUGCCAUUAUUUACUGAUAACUGUUCUCACUAUCUAUAUUUAAACCUUCUCAGUGUAAGAGUGACAAGACACUCUCCUAUCCAUUCAAUUGAUUCCUUUUUUCUUAUCAGUAUUUUCAGGUCAACUACACUAAAAGCAAACUAAAAGAUUCAGAUUAUAAUACGCUCAAGGUCAGGCUUGCAAACAGUGAUCUACACGCCAAUUGUCGCAUCAUGCUAGGAACCGACAAGAGAGCCACCGUGACAACCAACUGGUCUGAGUUCCGCCGCCUUUCAAAAAUCCAUGAAGUAGACUUCUGUACCUUUCGUUUCAAGGUCACCACAAAGCAGCGCCUGGUUCUCAUCGUGCAUUGCCUUUAGAUGAACCAUCAACAACAACGGAAAUCGUAUCUAAAUAUCAUCUAGCAUUUAUGCAGCAACACAGAUUGUGCUAGGCGUGAUGGAAGGUGAUGCUCAGAGAAACUUGUCGAGAUGCUCUACCUGAUGAUGAUUUUAUUGUUUUGUUUGUUCAACAGUAUGUAGCGACACAGAUUGUGCUAGGCAUAAUGGAAGGUGGUGCUCAGUUCUACAACAGCCAAGGAUGGGGCAUCGCACCGACGACAGUGAACUGUAAUGAGGGUGAGAUGCCGAUGUCUGCGCCGGCGCCAGAGACCGUGACCACAACUCGGGGGCGAGGUGGCGGUGUCAUCGGCAUUGCCAGUGUUGGCCCCUUGAGUUUUGGACCUGCCGAGCUCUGGUUCUGGAAGCUGCCAAUCCCAUCGAGCCCCUCCAGCAGCCUUCAGUUUCUGGGCCUCACAGAGAAGGUCAAGAAGGAAGAGCUUGUCAAGUCUGCAAUCGAGGAUUUUUCUGUCAGGCUCUGUUGGUGGACGCGAGAGACAUCUGGAUAGAAAGUUCGACUCUUCCUUACUAGAGCCAUAUGACCAAAAAGAUGAGGCUCUUUCCAAGCAUACAAGCAUAAGAUAUGUUAAUAUUGGGAGAGUGUCUCAUAUACUGCUCGAGGUCGGGAGGGUGCGGAGGCUGCUAGAGGAAGCAUUGGAGGCCGAGCUCAGCAGCAAUGAUGAGCUGCUACUGGUGUUGGACCGGGUACGGUCUACGAAGGAACGGGAGUGGGGUGGCUGGUUGUAUCCGCCAGAUUUUUGUGGAUGUGCUUAGCCAAGUUUUGAGAGCAUAUUCAGUAUACCUUGGUUGCCCAUAUGAUUGGUCAUCUCUCAAACAAUGGCACGGCCGCCACCUGAAAAGUGGCUAUCCCUAGCUAGCUGAGGGAUAACCUCAUAACCAAAAAUGCCCCCUUGUUGUGUAUGGUGAAAUUUUGUCCCAUACUAUACACUAUAGAGCUAGAGAAAAGCAACCUAAUAAGCUGAGAUUGUCGAGAAAAUGUGGUUGUCAAAUAGCUGAACUGAAUUGCUCGAAAAAGAGGCAACUACUCUUGUAGCUUUCCAAAAUCUGGAAAACUAAAACAAUUAAACAAGUACUGCUAAUCCAUUGUUUUUCUAAUUCAAGCAGUAAGAGUAGGCCUUUAGGUACUCACCUGGACGUUUGACGUCAUCUGCACUACAUUGCACUUUAUUUUUUGCAUGAUUUACAUUUUGUUCCUACUUAAUAAAAUCAGCAACUCAGUUGAUCUUGUUUCAUGCGCUUGUAGUGAGUUAUUCCUUCGAAUAUAAUCAAUUGUUUCAGUACUAAGCUAUCACAGAACAGAUAUUUGGUGAUGGCUUCCAAAAUAUUUUAGAGCACAUAUGGACAGAAUACCUGAUAUCUCUCUACUUUUAGAAAAACAGUUGCAUUACCGUAAAAGGCUUUCGCCCCGCUUUAUAUUAUAAAGCAACCGCCCACAUCAAGCAUCCCCCAAGGUUCCACACAUGUCCAAACACACACACACACACGCACGGAGGUUCCAAGCAGUUGCAUUACGGAAACUUUUAAUAUCUCUCUACAUUUGAGUUGUUCUUCCCUUUCUACAAAUGAUGCAUGAUCCUUGGGUUUAGAUUGAGAUGCUAGAUGGGAAACUGGUGUUAUUAUCAUCUGCUCAGGUUUUUUUGGGGGUAUCAUAUGGUGUUAUUUUAACAUGUAGAUCGAUGUUGUUUGUGGUUACAUCAAGGUAUGUACCUGAUACUCCCUCCGUCCCAAAAUAAGUUUCUUAACUUUGUACCAAAUUUAGUACAAAGUUGUACUAAGGUCGAGCCACUUAUUUUAGGACGGAGGGAGUGUGUGGUUGUUUUUCUAUUUCUG